rnacentral:lncRNA from 1 species
AUGUGUUCUGUUUUGUUUGCUGCUUUAUCAUUUCCAACUGCCCAGUCAGGAUUAAGAUUACAUCUCUGUAGACUUUAUAUUCUUAGCAAAACUAAUAAGNNNNNNNNNNNNNNNNNNNNNNNNNNNNNNNNNUCCUUUUCACAGACAGUUCACCUCUAUUUUUCUUUACAGGAAAAUCACUUCAGUUUGUUCCCUGCAAUGGCAGCUAUGACUUUCUCCAUGUCUGUGACCAUUUUGACUACGUGGCUGUUGGAUCAGGAAUGUGUUGAGAUUCUCAGCCUAACCCAGAACCAGUGAGAACUACCAUGAACAGUACAAAAACUCUUUAACUUCUAUUCUGGUAAUGAAGAGCGUGAAGAAGUGGAGAAUUUUCCAAAAGGAGCACGUUUACGUAAAACCCCAAUCUAUAUUUGCAAGCCUGAUCAGUUAGAAUGGAGUUGCACAUGCGUUUUGUUUCCAAAGAAACCACUUCCUUCAACGCCAAGUUCAGACAGAAAUCAAACCUUUAAGAACUAAUCUCCAGUUUAGUGAUUUCAAGUAUUCACCCAACCUUGUGUGUUCAUUUAAAAACUUACCUGAAAUAUAGUUUGUCAUAGCUGAGCCCUGAUUUUAGAAGAAUUUCUGUGAUUAGUAACUCAAGAUACUGCCAGGACCAAGUUAUGAGUUCUGAUUUUCAACUUUGAAACAUCAAAGGCUAUGAGAGCCAAUUCAGCUUUUCAGUAGAUUGUGCUAUAGAAUUCAUUUUCUUAUACCAAGAUGUGAAACCAUAGUAAUUCAAAAGGCAUUUUUUUAUGCUGAUCAUUUUACGCUGGUGUAAAUUUUUAUAUAUAAAGUUCCCUCUAUACCUUACAUCAACCACGUCUGAAUGAAUUUCUUCUUCGCAUAAUAUGUCAGUCUUUGUAUAUGAUCCAGGUCAGGAUUUAAGCAUCUGAGGUCUGAUCUAUAUAGAAACUGUCUGUGGCACCAUGUCACCUGGUAUUUAGGUUUUCUCUGGUGCGUGUCCACUAAUGCACAGCAUGGAGUGCUUGACAUUGCUCUUAAAAGUCUCAGCUGACACAGAUGGAGCCUGAACAAGUUUCCUAAAUCUGUGAGGUGAACCAUACGGAUGAUGAAAAUGAUUUAUUAUUUAGUGAUCUUCCUCAUACAGUCUCUAAUUGUAGAAAAUCUGAUAAGGAAAGAAUAAUCAUUGGUUUCAGAGACUGAAACAAAAUCAGAGGUACUCCCCCCCCCACACCAAUUGUCCUCUGGAACUUCUAAUGUGAUUUAUUACAGUUCUCAUAAACAGUAAAACUAUAUCACCAUAACAGGUUUAAUUUUUUUCACCAACUAAUAGUUCUUUUGUGUCUGUUUCCAGCUCUCUCUUCUAUUACCAGUCCAGGUUGAGUUUUAACCUUCAGAAACUAUUGUGCUACAAAAUUAUUUUUAGUCAUGUUCACUUUUCAGAAGAGUAUGUUAUUUCUAAAGAGAAGGCUAAAUUUCAUAAUAAUGUGCAAUGUAAAUAUGAUAUAGGGGUCUUAGAACACAUCAAGAUAUUUCAUAGUGCUGGCAGUUAAUUCCUGCAUCACAGGCAGAAAGAAACACUUUUCCUGAAUGUCAGGUUUAUUUUUUUGUUUCUGUUUUAUUUCCACACCAAGUGCCACUUUUCUUACCAGAAAUUUGCUGUUUUGUCUUAAGGAGUGAAUGCAGUCAAUAAAUAACUUUGUUUCUCUCUCUUUUCUCA